AUGAACGCUGGCGGCGUGCCUCAUACAUGCAAGUCGAGCGAACGGACGAGAAGCUUGCUUCUCUGAUGUUAGCGGCGGACGGGUGAGUAACACGUGGAUAACCUACCUAUAAGACUGGGAUAACUUCGGGAAACCGGAGCUAAUACCGGAUGAUAUUUUGAACCGCAUGGUUCAAAAGUGAAAGACGGUCUUGCUGUCACUUAUAGAUGGAUCCGCGCUGCAUUAGCUAGUUGGUAAGGUAACGGCUUACCAAGGAAACGAUGCAUAGCCGACCUGAGGGGGUGAUCGGCCACACUGGAACUGAGACACGGUCCAGACUCCUACGGGAGGCAGCAGUAGGGAAUCUUCCGCAAUGGGCGAAAGCCUGACGGAGCAACGCCGCGUGAGUGAUGAAGGUCUUCGGAUCGUAAAACUCUGUUAUUAGGGAAGAACAUAUGUGUAAGUAACUGUGCACAUCUUGACGGUACCUAAUCAGAAAGCCACGGCUAACUACGUG
rnacentral:rRNA from 1 species